UUCCCCUGGAAUUGGAUAUCAGUGAGCUUUCCCCUCCGGAAAUCCACGGUAGCGCCUCCUCAUCUCCCUUUCCAACAACCAAACGCAAAGGAAAGAGGACACGGGAUGACAGCUUCCUGGACACCAUCACGGUGAUGGAUGACCGGCGUGCCUUGGCCAGCAAGGAAAAUGAGGACCGGCAUGCCAUGGCCAACAAGGAGAUGCACGACGAACGGCUGCUGCAUGCACACAAGGCCCAGGAAUCGCAGGACCAGCUUCUAAAGGUGAUGGCUGACUCGGCGGCGCGCCAGGUGGAGCAACAAAAUAGCUUUCAGGCUGGGCUUCUGGGAGUGCUAAGCGAGCUGGUUAAAUCCAACAGGCCUCCAAUUAAAAAGAAAAGAAAAACUUGUCGUCGUUAGUCAACUAUAGAAUGACUUGUUUGGAGGCGUGUGGCGCAGUGGCAGUGUGCGUUGGUGUUCGGAUCAGGGGAGCACAGGUUCAAACCCCACUGCAGUCAGCAUGUCGU